rnacentral:rRNA from 2 species
CAUUGGAUUGAGAACAAUGUACAAGAGUUAUCGAUAAACAAUUGGAGGGCAAGUCUGGUGCCAGCAGCCGCGGUAAUUCCAGCUCCAAUAGCGUAUAUUAACGUUGUUGCAGUUAAAAAGCUCGUAUUUGAACUGUGGGGCAUAAAUGAAUUGACUUUUUCAAAGUGAAUGAAUGAAUACCCCCUCUCCAAUAAGUCUGUAUGGGUAUUAAGUUAUUUGUACUGGCUGUUGGUCAUUUACUGUGAGAAAAUUAGAGUGCUCAAAGCACGCCUUUGCUUGAAUAUGUUAACAUGGAAUAAUAAUAAAAGGCUUUUAUGGUCGAUUUAAUUGGUUUGUUCAUGAAAGCAAGAUUAAAAGGGACAGUUGGGGGCAUUCAUAUUCAAUAGUUAGAGGUGAAAUUCUCGGAUUCAUGGAACAUGAACUACCGCGAAAGCCUUUACCAAGGAUGUUUUCAUUAAUCCAGAACGAAACCUAGGGGAUUGAAGAGGCUCAGAUUCCCUAGUAGUCUUAGCUAUAAACUAUACCGUAUAGGGGUUUGUAGAAGUCACUGUGUUUCUAUUAGUACCUUAUGAGACAUCAAAGUCUUUGGGUUCCGGGGGGAGUAUUGUUGCAAGGCUGAAACUUAAAGGAAUCGACGGAAGGGCACCACCAGGAGUGGAGCGUGCGGCUUAAUUUGACUCAUCACGGGCAAACUUACCAGGUCCAGACAUAGGAAGGAUUGACAGAUUGACAGCUCUUUCUUGAUUAUAUGGGUGGUGGUGCAUGCCCGUUCUUAGUUGGUGGAGUGAUUUGUCUGGUUACUUCCGAUAUCGAACGAGACCUCCGCCUACUAACUAGUUUAUUGUAUUUUGAUAGAAUAAACUUCUUAGAGGGACACUAUACGUAUGAGUGUAGGGAAGCUGGAGGCAAUAACAGGUCUGUGAUGCCCUUAGAUGUUGUGGGCUGCACGCGCGCGACACUGAUCUAUUCAACGAGUAACUGGAUCGAUAGAUUUGGUAAAUCU